rnacentral:rRNA from 1 species
AUUGAACGCUGGCGGCAGGCUUAACACAUGCAAGUCGAACGAGUGGCGGACGGGUGAGUAAUGCUUGGGAAUCUCGCUUAUGGAGGGGGAUAACUACGGGAAACUGUAGCUAAUAACGCGUACCAUAGGAUGAGCCCAAGUGGGAUUAGGUAGUUGGUGAGGUAAAGGCUCACCAAGCCGACGAUCUCUAGCUGGUCUGAGAGGAUGACCAGCCACACGUGGAAUGAGACACGGCCCAGACUCCUACGGGAGGCAGCAGUGGGGAAUAUGGCACAAUGGGCGCAAGCCUGAUGCAGCCAUGCCGCGUGUGUGAAGAAGGCCUUCGGGGUGUAAAGCACUUUCAGCGAGGAGGCGUUACUCGCAGAAGAAGCACCGGCUAACUCCGUGCCAGCAGCCGCGGUAAUUC